UACGUAGGGUGCGAGCGUUAAUCGGAAUUACUGGGCGUAAAGCGUGCGCAGGCGGUUUUGUAAGACAGAGGUGAAAUCCCCGGGCUCAACCUGGGAACUGCCUUUGUGACUGCAAGGCUUGAGUGCGGCAGAGGGGGAUGGAAUUCCGCGUGUAGCAGUGAAAUGCGUAGAUAUGCGGAGGAACACCGAUGGCGAAGGCAAUCCCCUGGGCCUGCACUGACGCUCAUGCACGAAAGCGUGGGGAGCGAACAGG
rnacentral:rRNA from 1 species